CCUUGAUGAUGACUCCCGCACGCGUCUUACGCCUCGCGUCAACGCCAGACCUGAAAAGGUGAACCCACUGGUGUUGCCUUGGCAAUAAGGUGACGGUUUGUUGGGGUUACCAACAGUCUGAGAGGA
ensembl:snoRNA SNORD22 Small nucleolar RNA SNORD22